rnacentral:lncRNA from 1 species
CUAAUGCCAGAGGGAUAUGGACUUUGUAUCAAGACAUCCUCUUCCCACCAGACAGCAGUGUCUCCCCUGCUGAGGGGCAGAAGCAACACAGGCCUCCAGGAACCCCCUUCCUCAUGGCAGGCCUGCUAGGAAGGCUGCUGCUUCCACAAGUCACAGCACCAUGCGAACCCUGAAGAAUGCACUGAAGACUCAGGUGACAAAGCAGCUGACCAUCCCUCCCUGUACUGAUUAUAAAUGGGCAAAUUGGACUACUCCAGUGUCACUGAAAUCUGGACCAAUUCCCUUUUGCGCCCUCU